UCUUUUUCUCUUUCUCUUCAUCACUUGCACCUCUUCACUCAGUCACCUCUCUAGUGUCAAAUGUAUCUGUUUUAGUGGGUGCCAUUGCCAGGUUUAAGGGGGUUUUAUACAUUAAACUGAGUUCCUUGUUGAGUUUUUACACAUGAGAGGGUUUUACGCCCAAAUUGUAAUUUUGUUUGGACAUUUCAGAGAGCCAAAAUUCAACACAAAUUGUGCUACAUUUGAAACUUGUUGAGGGGGGGUACAGGGCACCACACUAGCAAGACCUAGAAAAACAAAUGGCAAAAGAUGGUAAAGCCGGUGGCGUGGACGAGGUGGAUGCUCUCAAAGCGGCCAUGCUCGCAAAGGAUUUGGAGGUGAUAACAAUUCGGGACAAGAUGCAGCGUCUUGAGGAGAGAUCCUCAUUCAUUCUGAGCAACAUGGAAAAGCUGAGCAUUGGAUCGAGAGACAAGAUUGCCUCCUUGACCGAGAUCAUCGCAUUCCUCACCAGUGAAGGAAAUAAUAAAGAAAUAAAAAUUAAAGAAUUAGAGGUUGCUCUUGAUUUAUCAGAAAGAAGUAGAAAAGAGACAAUUGCUUGCAAGAAUGAGGAAAUGGUAGAACUGGCAAAUACCCAUGAAUUUCAAUUGAAUAAUAUGAAGUUGAAAUUAGAUGCUGUACAAGUGAGAUUAAGAGAACUCACCAAUUUCGCUGCCAAAAAAGAAGCCAUAGAAAAUGAAAAUGCAGUGUUAAAAGAACAAUUAUUGAAGGAGCAAAGGGAUCAUGUGGAGGCAAUUAGUGACGUUGAAAGAGUAUCAGUGCAAGAGAAAGAGCGUCUUAAAAAAGAAAUCAUACUUCGGGUGGAAGAAACAAAAAAAAGUUAUUCUGACGGUCUUCAAGACCAACUUCACAUUAAAACAAAAAUGACUAUUGCGGAAAAUGAACAAUUAAAAGCUGAGGUGGCAUACCACAUUCAUCAAACACAAAUUAUGUUUCAACUCAAUGAAAGUCUAGAUAAAGAAAAAUCCGAGGUUUCUCGCUCUCUCCAAUUAACUAAAGAGAAAAUAAUAAUUUUUAUUGGAAUUGGACUUAAAGUCAGAGGAAGAUGUGGUACGCAAAAAUUAUAUUUAUCAACAAACCAUUCAAGUAUUACUUCAUAAACUUCAAGAAAUCAAGAAAGAAAAACAAAAAAAUGACAUUAAUGUAGAGAAGAAAUUGAUGGACAUAAAAAAUUUACAAUCUUUACAAAAUAUAAAUAUUUUGACGAGAAUCAAAAAUAAGAAACAGGUGGUAAAUUUUUUGCAAAGCUGUCUUGAAGACAUUCAAUCCGACAGGAAUGCAGCAUGUUUCAAUGAAAAGCAAUAUGUCAAAGGUGAUCUGAUUCCAAUAAAAAAAUCAAACUUGAACAAAUCAAAUUCUGCUUCCAAAAAACUACAAAAAUUACUCAUAAAACUAUUUCAACAUUUGAAGCUAUUGAAAGUAAUCCCACGUAAUAUGCUUAAAGAUUCUUCAUCAAAUAUUGUAAACCAAUCAAAGAGAAAAACAAAUUUAGUGAAAAUACAUUCAAAGGUGUUUGUGGAUGACAUAUUGCAAAUGCCUUUUGAAAAGAUCUUGAAAGGACAUGAUUGAAUUACUUAUUAUCUAAAAGAAUUUGCAUUUUUAAAUGCAAAAAUUAUGUGUAUGUAUUCAUGUAUGUAAAUAAAGAUUAAAAGCCGUUUUUUAUUUUUAAUUUUUUAAAACUCAAUUUAUACAAAAAGAAUUCCAAUCAGAAUUAAAAUUUAAGUAGUAAAAUUACUCUUUAAUCACAAAUAAUUUUUUACUUUAAUAAAAUUCACAUGUGUGGAUUUCGGAAAAAAUAAUACAUCAAUACAUAUAUAUAUAUAUAUAUAUAUUAUUUUGUGGUUAAAAAAAUCUAUAUCAAUAUGGUAAAAUUCUAUGAGCACAUAAAGUAUCUUUUGUAAUUGUGUUCUUCAAAUCAAAAACAUUAAUAUCAAAAAUCAAGUAUCUAUGUGUGUUUUUUUACAUAUUUAUAUUGAGUACCUUAUUACAUCUCCAGCUUGAAACUUAAUUUAAUCUUCUGCUUUAUUUUUUGGUCAAACUAAAAACAUAAAAAAUAAAAAGGGUUCAUAAUUUUGUUCAGACAAGAAUGUUGCUUAGCAAUUUUUUUUGUAAUUUCGUUGAUCAAGAAGAAAAACAUUUGAGAUAAUGGAUUUUAACGAGUACAUACAUAUUUAUAAGUACAAUGUAAUAGAUUAUUCAAAAAUCCAUUCGUAUUUACAGUUGAGGAGUAAUUUUAAAAUGAGGGAAAAAUAUAUGUGUAUAUGGAAGACAUAAAAGUUUUCAAUAUAUUGUAACAAAAAUUUUAAAUUAUAUAAAUUCAAAAAA